CGGGUGAGUAUAAUGUGGGAAUCUGCCUUUUGGUUUGGAAUAACACGGGGAAACCUGUGCUAAUACCGGAUAAGCCCUUACGGGGAAAGUUUUAAUGCCGAAAGAUGAGCCCGCACUUGAUUAGCUAGUUGGUAAGGUAAAAGCUUACCAAGGCAAUGAUCAAUAGCUGUUCUUAGAGGAAGACCAGCCACAUUGGGACUGAGACACGGCCCAGACUCCUACGGGAGGCAGCAGUGGGGAAUCUUGCACAAUGGGGGAAACCCUGAUGCAGCGAUGCCGCGUGAGUGAAGAAGGCCUUUGGGUUGUAAAACUCUUUCGUCGGGGAAGAAAAUGACUGUACCCGAAUAAGAAGGUCCGGCUAACUUCGUGCCAGCAGCCGCGGUAAUACGAAGGGACCUAGCGUAGUUCGGAAUUACUGGGCUUAAAGAGCUCGUAGGUGGUUAAAAAAGUUGAUGGUGAAAUCCCAAGGCUCAACCUUGGAACUGCCAUCAAAACUUUUUAGCUAGAGUGUGAUAGA
rnacentral:rRNA from 1 species